GUACACUCCUACGGGGGCAGCAGUGGGGAAUAUUGGACAAUGGGCGCAAGCCUGAUCCAGCCAUGCCGCGUGAGUGAUGAAGGCCCUAGGGUUGUAAAGCUCUUUCACCGGUGAAGAUAAUGACGGUAACCGGAGAAGAAGCCCCGGCUAACUUCGUGCCAGCAGCCGCGGUAAUACGAAGGGGGCUAGCGUUGUUCGGAUUUACUGGGCGUAAAGCGCACGUAGGCGGACUAUUAAGUCAGGGGUGAAAUCCCGGGGCUCAACCCCGGAACUGCCUUUGAUACUGGUAGUCUUGAGUUCGAGAGAGGUGAGUGGAAUUCCGAGUGUAGAGGUGAAAUUCGUAGAUAUUCGGAGGAACACCAGUGGCGAAGGCGGCUCACUGGCUCGAUACUGACGCUGAGGUGCGAAAGCGUGGGGAGCAAACAGGAUUAGAUACCCCAGUAGUCCCA
rnacentral:rRNA from 1 species